AUCAAUCAGAAAACGUUUACCCACUCAAAUGAAUUUUUUUCGAAAAUUUUUCUGGGUAAAACUGCUGUUUGUAAUUUAAAAAAUAGAGAUCAGUUUAGAAAUCAACCAAGAACACCCAAAACGCCCAAAAUCUGAUACCAAAUGAUACGGGGUUGCGCGCGGACCAAGAUCGAGUUUCCAAGUCACGAGAAACUCCUACGAAAACCCUAAACAAUUAGAUCUGAAACGAAACAGAAAAUUAAAAGAUUAGAUUUUUGAAUUUUCAGAUCUGAAAUAAAAUCCCCAAAACAGUAAAGAAUCAAAUUGAGAAUAGAAAUAAG
rnacentral:lncRNA from 1 species